rnacentral:rRNA from 1 species
UACGUAGGGGGCAAGCGUUGUCCGGAUUUAUUGGGCGUAAGGCGCGUGUAGGCGGCCAGGUAGGUCUGCUGUGAAAACUCGAGGCUCAACCUCGAGACGUCGGCGGAAACCCUCUGGCUAGAGUCCGGAAGAGGAGAGUGGAAUUCCUGGUGUAGCGGUGAAAUGCGCAGAUAUCAGGAGGAACACCAAUUGCGAAGGCAGCUCGCUGGAACGUAACUGACGCUGAGACGCGAAAGCGUGGGGAGCAAACAGG